rnacentral:rRNA from 1 species
AUGCGCGUGGAAGAUGCCCUUUUACAGUUGCAAGUGACGGUUAAAAGGGCUGCCAAAACAUUGACCCUCCUCCUCGACGACACUGCAGAAGAGGCUUUUGUGGGAAAGGGACUUUAUCUCAAGAGGCUGUCUUACCACGCCAAAGGGAGGUGUGGUGUGAGGGAGAGACCUAGGUGCAGGCUGACGGUGGUGGUCAGAGAAGCCACAGCCGAGGAGGAAGCCAAGAUUGCGAAACUCAGGGUCAUGAACUACAAGAAGCUCACCCGGAAGGAGAAGCAGCUCAUGCCGCACCGGCUCAUCGAGGUCAGCCCCAAGUGGGCUCGCAAAAGGAAAGAGGAGGAGGAGGAGGCCGGUGCUUCAGCGUAG